rnacentral:rRNA from 1 species
UACGUAGGGGGCUAGCGUUGUCCGGAAUCAUUGGGCGUAAAGCGCGUGUAGGCGGCCCGGUAAGUCAGGAGUGAAAGGCCUGGGCUCAACCGAGGAACUGCUUUUGAGACUGCCGAGCUAGAGUGCAGAAGGGGCAACUGGAAUUCCCAGUGUAGCGGUGAAAUGCGUAGAUAUUGGGAAGAACACCUGAGGCGAAGGCGGGUUGCUGGGCUGACACUGACGCUGAGGCGCGAAAGCCAGGGGAGCAAACGGG